GGUUAUCUCAUGCACUAUGAUCCCAAAUGAAUAUACAUCGCCCUUCUGUGUGCCUUCAGGAGCCCGCUGAUUUUCCAGCCGCAACAGUUCAGGCGCGGUCCAAAGGCGCUCUGCAGCUGUGGGCCAGCCCACUUACUUUUCCAGUAGGCAUGGCUAUUGCAGUUUUCAAUAUCGCUUUCGACAUCAUGAUGGGUGCGCCGCAGGCUAUGCAGCCCAAAGUCGGUGAUCUUGAGCACAAAACGUGAGUCCACCACGCAAUUGGAGGACUUAAGAUUGCCGUGGGAGCGUAUAUCAGAGCUGUGUAGAAACUGCAUGCCCCGCACAAUAUCAUGCAUUAGCGACAGCUUGAACAUCCAGUCCAGCUGAAACUGCUCGUUCUCUAGUAUAUCCUGCAGCGAACCCUUGGGACAGUAUUCGCAUUAGACUGCGCGACAGUAUACCCUGAACAUUUUCCAACUCGAUGGGCUUGAUAGCCACCUUGCUUUUCCUGUACAUGCCCACGGGUAUGAAGAUCUGACGGUCCCCAUUUAUGGAGCCCAUGUCCUCCGACAUGAGCGUCAGCUGGGAGCUCUGCUUGACUAGCGAGUGAAAGGAGCCGCGCAUGCCAUGAUCUGCAGCAUCCCGAAACAUAACAUCCUCCAAUGAAACCUUCCAGCUCAUUGAAUUGAUCUCGGCCUCGGCAAUAUAAUGUCGAUAGCCGAAGAAGAAGCAUACGGCCAUAACGAUUACCAUUAUGCCAAGAACGAUCGAAAGAAUGGCAUAGCCAGGCAGGGCUAGAAAAGAUGAGAGCAUUGGGAAAAAAGUAACGAAAUCGAUCGAAUAUUUUUACUUACAAUUGUCCGGGCAUAGCGAACCAUCGUAACCACAGAUUGGACGAUCGGGUGGCGCCUGUUCACGACCACCAGCCCAAUGUAUUUCCUUUUCCGAUGCAAACUCCAGACGAUUGUGCAGGAAAUGCGCGACAAUCUCAAAUCUGCCAGUGCUGGGAUUCAUGUCUAGCAGAGAAUAUGCCGAGAUGCGAUCUCCAUUCGAGUCGAUGGUCACGUUCCCAGUAAUGCCCGUGAAGCUGCGGUUCCACAUGCGUCGCACCAUAUCGGUGCCAUUGAUGGGUCUUGUAAGCAUGCUGGGAUCUUCACGGAUGCUAUCAUUGAGAGCGUUCGCGUAGAGGAGGACGCCAUCAAAGAAGGAGGUAACAAAUGCCGAAAUUGGUUCAUUCUCGCUGAAUGUGUAAUUGUAUUUUGCCGAGGCGAUGUCUUUGAUCUGUAAAUGGAGUGCACAGCACAUUAAUCACAGGCAGAAGUAGUUCCACUUAUCUGCGUGUUCUAGCCCUGGCUAUCUGCGAAAUGCUGUUGUUUUCAUUGCUUUGGCACCCGUGAAAUUCAAUUACAACCACGCCGACAACAAAUCCCAAUGGCAAAGGCAACGCCAACUACUACAUCGACGAGAAUUUGCCAGAAUCCGUCACACGUUUCAAGUUGUGCGCUUGGAGUCCAUCAGCUUGUCGUCCAAGAGCCCCAAGGCGGCUAAGCCAGAAUAGGCGAAGGAAAUUUUGCCAAGGCCCGCCCACCCCACAAUUUUCACAGCCGUUGGCAUUGGGACAGGGAAAUGCAACUGAAACCGAUUUCAGAAGUAUUCUCAAGCGGAGCAUGCCGCAUAAAUCAAAGACAUAACCAAACGCUAAGCCGCAGUCAUGUUCCUAAACUAUCGAAGUCGCGAAUAGAACACUUAAGCGUUUCAUCCGUAAAUUGAAGAUGUGCCACAAUUUCAAUGCAAUUUCAAAUAUACAUAUAUGCAUAAUA